rnacentral:lncRNA from 1 species
UGGCACUGCAUGGCGCAGCACGAUCUAUUUAAACCCUGUCUGCACCUAGGUUUGGAGAAUCUGCUCAAUACCCAGCAAAAUUGAGAUUAUCCUCCACUUCUCUAUGCUCCCUCUACUCCUAUCUCUCCCCUAUUCAUGUCCAAAGAGUGGGGCAUCCAUCUGGUGCUUGUCCAAGGUGUGGUGGCUUCCUGAUCAGAAGGCUGCAGGGAUUUAUCGAGAAGCUGCUGCUCCAGUUUCAGAGGAUCUUUUGAAGAUCUUCCAGAUCUGAUUUAGAUCUAAUUUUUGGAGUAAAGAUUUAUGAGGAGAAGAUGAUCCAGAUCUUACUUAAGUAGAUACCGAUAGAGG